CUGUUCCUACGGGGCGCAGCAGUGAGGAAUAUUGGGCAAUGGGGGCAACCCUGACCCAGCCAUGCCGCGUGAGUGAAGACGGUCUUCGGAUUGUAAAGCUCUUUCGGACGUGACGAUGAUGACGGUAGCGUCUAAAGAAGCACCGGCAAACUUCGUGCCAGCAGCCGCGGUAAUACGAAGGGUGCGAGCGUUGUUCGGAAUUACUGGGCGUAAAGGGAGUGUAGGCGGAUAUGUAUGAUAGCGGUGAAAUGCCGGGGCUCAACC
rnacentral:rRNA from 1 species